GUUUCUGAGUGAGGGGGAGAGGAGUCAUCAUCCAGGUAAAGUGACGUGGAUCAGUGGAUACACUUGUCUCCCCUUUAAAGGAGACGAUCCAAGUCAUCCUUAAAUAUGGGCAGUAUAUCAGUCUUGGACUGUCUAACCUGCCGGAGCAGCACUGAAUGACCACCGCACGAGCAUGUUCCUGCAACAUUCAGCAUCUGAUCUGUCAUCUGUGUGCUUCUGCUUUUGUGUCAAAUGUCAAACAGCUGGAGAGGAAACUACACCAGUGUACUGGGAUGUUUCAGCAACACGUGCCAGAUGCUGUUCCUUCAUGGUGACAUCACCAGAGACAGUCCCGCCCACCUCAGGACCCAUUGAUUAUGAUGAUCUGAUCCAUCAAACCCCCAGCAGUUACAGUACGUGAUAUCUUGAUAUCAGGCGGUCAACACUGGGGGAAGACAAGAAGCAGACGUACUUCCAAGAGGGAGCUGCAGUGAGGACACAGCCAGGUCACUGAGGUCAGAGGAGGCGCUGGAAGGUUUCCCUAAUAGUUCCUGGUGAAUCAAAGCAGAACCAUAAAGGUUGCUGGAUUGCAUGAUGGCCUUACCCCUGAGCAGUCAUCCUGUUAAAGGAGGAACCAGUUAGAAGCUGUUUUCAAAGUAGCUGAGCAGAUUUCAUCUCAACAGACAAAGCCGAUUGCAGAAGAUUUCGGAGAAGAACUUCAGGCCGUGUACUGAAAAGGUAUUUUUUUCUUGUUAUCAAAAGACA